rnacentral:rRNA from 1 species
GGUCAAGUGAAUAAGGGCAUACGGUGGAUGCCUUGGCAGAGACAGGCGAUGAAGGACGUGGAUACCUGCGAAAAGCCUCGGGGAGCUGGUAAGCAAGCUUUGAUCCGGGGAUAUCCGAAUGGGGCAACCCAGCCAGAGUGAUCUGGUUAUUGCACACUGAAUACAUAGGUGUGUAAAGCGAACGCGGUGAACUGAAACAUCUCAGUAGCUGCAGGAAAAGAAAUCAACCGAGAUUCCCGUAGUAGCGGCGAGCGAACCGGGAGCAGCCUUCAUGAUGUAGCGUAAGACUUAGGAGAACGACCUGGGAAGGUUGGCCGUAGUGGGUGAUAGCCCCGUAUCCGAAAAGACUUUCGUGGAACUAGGCAUGAGCAAAGUAGGGCGGGACACGUGGAAUCCUGUCUGAAGAUGGGGGGACCAUCCUCCAAGGCUAAAUACUCGUCUCUGACCGAUAGUGAACCAGUACCGUGAGGGAAAGGCGAAAAGAACCGCGGAGAGCGGAGUGAAAUAGAUCCUGAAACCGUAUGCCUACAAGCAGUGGGAGCCCGUUUUACGGGUGACUGCGUACCUUUUGUAUCAUGGGUCAGCGACUUACUUUCUGUGGCGAGCUUAACCGAAGAGGGGAGGCGUAGGGAAACCGAGUCUGAAUAGGGCGACAGUCGCAGGGAGUAGACCCGAAACCGGACGAUCUAUCCAUGGUCAGGAUGAAGGUGGGGUAAAACCUACUGGAGGUCCGAACCCACGCCCGUUGAAAAGGUCGGGGAUGAACUGUGGAUAGGAGUGAAAGGCUAAACAAGUCCGGAGAUAGCUGGUUCUCCCCGAAAGCUAUUGAGGUAGCGCGUCGCGUAUUACUGCCGGGGGUAGAGCACUGUUACGGCUAGGGGGCUGUCACGGCUUACCAACCCGUUGCAAACUCCGAAUACCGGCAAGUAGAGCGCGGCAGACAGACGGCGGGUGCUAACGUCCGUCGUCAAGAGGGAUGAAAACCCAGACCGCCAGCUAAGGUCCCCAAAUAUGGCUCAGUGGGAAACGAUGUGGGAAGGCCCAGACAGCUAGGAGGUUGGCUUAGAAGCAGCCAUCCUUUAAAGAAAGCGUAAUAGCUCACUAGUCGAGUCGGCCCGCGCGGAAGAUUUAACGGGGCUCAAGCCAUAUACCGAAGCUGCGGGUGUGUCCUUAGGGACACGCGGUAGGGGAGCGUUCGGUAAGCCGAUGAAGGUGUGUUGGAAAGCAUGCUGGAGGUAUCCGAAGUGCGAAUGCUGACAUGAGUAGCGAUAAAGGGUGUGAAAACCACCCUCGCCGUAAGCCCAAGGGUUCCUGCGUCAAGUCAAUCUGCGCAGGGUGAGUCGGCCCCUAAGGCGAGGCCGAGAGGCGUAGCUGAUGGGAAAUCGGUUAAUAUUCCGAUACUGUUACAAGAUGCGAUGGAGUGACGGAGAAAGGUAGCUCAGCCGGGUGUUGGAUGUCCUGGUUUAAGCGUGUAGGGAGUCUUCUCAGGCAAAUCCGGGAAGGCCAUUCCGAGGCGUGAUGACGAUCCUCUACGGAGGAGAAGUGAGUGAACCUACGCUUCCAGGAAAAGCUUCUAAGCUCUAGUCUUGUGAUGACCGUACCCCAAACCGACACAGGUGGGCAGGAAGAAUAUUCCAAGGCGCUUGAGAGACCUCGGGUGAAGGAACUCGGCAAAUUGACACCGUAACUUCGGAAGAAGGUGUGCCCUGAUAGGUUGUACUCCCUUGCGGAGGAAGGCCGAAGGGGUCGCAGAGAAUCGGUGGCUGCAACUGUUUAACAAAAACACAGGGCUCUGCAAAGACGAAAGUCGACGUAUAGGGUCUGACGCCUGCCCGGUGCCGGAAGGUUAAGUGAGGGGGUGCAAGCUCUUGAUCGAAGCCCCGGUAAACGGCGGCCGUAACUAUAACGGUCCUAAGGUAGCGAAAUUCCUUGUCGGGUAAGUUCCGACCUGCACGAAUGG